rfam:Trichobilharzia regenti genome assembly, scaffold: TRE_scaffold0080169
AUCCGGUGACGAGUCCCAAAUAGGACGAAAUGGGCAUCCUGGAU